rnacentral:rRNA from 1 species
GACGAACGCUGGCGGCGUGCCUAAUACAUGCAAGUAGAACGCACAGUUUAUACCGUAGCUUGCUCCACCAUAGACUGUGAGUUGCGAACGGGUGAGUAACGCGUAGGUAACCUGCCUGGUAGCGGGGGAUAACUAUUGGAAACGAUAGCUAAUACCGCAUAAUAUUAAUUAUUGCAUGAUAAUUAAUUGAAAGGUGCAAUUGCACCACUACCAGAUGGACCUGCGUUGUAUUAGCUAGUAGGUGAGGUAACGGCUCACCUAGGCGACGAUACAUAGCCGACCUGAGAGGGUGAUCGGCCACACUGGGACUGAGACACGGCCCAGACUCCUACGGGAGGCAGCAGUAGGGAAUCUUCGGCAAUGGACGAAAGUCUGACCGAGCAACGCCGCGUGAGUGAAGAAGGGUGUCGGAUCGUAAAGCUCUGUUGUAAGAGAAGAACGGGUGUGAGAGUGGAAAGUUCACACUGUGACGGCAUCUUACCAGAAAGGGACGGCUAACUACGUG